rnacentral:rRNA from 1 species
UACAGAGGGUGCAAGCGUUAAUCGGAAUUACUGGGCGUAAAGCGCGCGUAGGCGGUUCGUUAAGUUGGAUGUGAAAUCCCCGGGCUCAACCUGGGAACUGCAUCCAAAACUGGCGAGCUAGAGUAUGGUAGAGGGUGGUGGAAUUUCCUGUGUAGCGGUGAAAUGCGUAGAUAUAGGAAGGAACACCAGUGGCGAAGGCGACCACCUGGACUGAUACUGACACUGAGGUGCGAAAGCGUGGGGAGCAAACAGG